rnacentral:rRNA from 1 species
AAUGGGCGAGAGCCUGAACCAGCCAAGUCGCGUGCAGGAAGAAUGUCCUAUGGAUUGUAAACUGCUUUUGCAGGGGAAUAAAGUGAGCCACGUGUGGUUUUUUGUAUGUACUCUGCGAAUAAGGAUCGGCUAACUCCGUGCCAGCAGCCGCGGUAAUACGGAGGAUCCGAGCGUUAUCCGGAUUUAUUGGGUUUAAAGGGUGCGUAGGCGGGAUAAUAAGUCAGUGGUGAAAGUUUGCAGCUUAACUGUAAAAUUGCCGUUGAAACUGUUAUUCUUGAGAGUAGAUAAGGUAGGCGGAAUGCGUGGUGUAGCGGUGAAAUGCUUAGAUAUCACGCAGAACUCCGAUUGCGAAGGCAGCUUACUAAGCUACAACUGAGACUGAAGCACGAAAGCGUGGGGAUCAAA